rnacentral:rRNA from 1 species
UGGGGAAUAUUGGACAAUGGGGGCAACCCUGAUCCAGCAAUGCCGCGUGUGUGAAGAAGGCCUUCGGGUUGUAAAGCACUUUUAUCGGGAAAGAAACACGCAGGGCGAAUACCUUUGCGGACUGACGGUACCCGAUGAAUAAGCACCGGCUAACUCCGUGCCAGCAGCCGCGGUAAUACGGAGGGUGCAAGCGUUAAUCGGAAUUACUGGGCGUAAAGCGUGCGUAGGUGGUUCGUUAAGUCCGUUGUGAAAGCCCCGAGCUCAACUUGGGAAUUGCAGUGGAUACUGGCGAGCUGGAGUGCGGUAGAGGAAGGUGGAAUUCCCGGUGUAGCGGUGAAAUGCGUAGAGAUCGGGAGGAACACCAGUGGCGAAGGCGGCCUUCUGGACCAGCACUGACACUCAAGCACGAAAGCGUGGGGAGCAAACAG